rnacentral:rRNA from 1 species
AACGAACGCUGGCGGCAGGCUUAACACAUGCAAGUCGAGCGCCCCGCAAGGGGAGCGGCCGACGGGUGAGUAACGCGUGGGAACGUACCUUUUGGUUCGGAACAACUCCGGGAAACUGGAGCUAAUACCGGAUAAGCCCUAACGGGGAAAGAUUUAUCGCCGAAAGAUCGGCCCGCGUCUGAUUAGCUAGUUGGUGAGGUAACGGCUCACCAAGGCGACGAUCAGUAGCUGGUCUGAGAGGAUGAUCAGCCACACUGGGACUGGGCCACGGCCCAGACUCCUACGGGAGGCAGCAGUGGGGAAUAUUGGACAAUGGGCGCAAGCCUGAUCCAGCCAUGCCGCGUGAGUGAUGAAGGCCUUAGGGUUGUAAAGCUCUUUUGUCCGGGAAGAUAAUGACGGUACCGGAAGAAUAAGCCCCGGCUAACUUCGUG